UUCCACCAUGUGCCUGAGCACAUUGUCUUGAACUCCAUCAGCCUUGGCGCUGUGACGUUCCCUGGGGAGCCUGCUCCAGUGUGAAAGGGACCUAUCUGAUUUUCAUUUAUGCCUCAGCAUAAGUUAUAUUCUUACAGGGGCUGACCCCGGAAAGAGUUCUCUUGGCAGCCACUCACGGCAGACACAGCCUCCAGGACUAGAUUGUGAGUGAAAAGCCCGGAUGCCUGCCAAAAAUGCCCGCCAAGCCGGGCUGUGGGAGGACCUUAGCACAGAAAAGCAGUAACUGCGAUGCUGCAGAGGACGCUUUGUUUGAGUUUCUCAGAGGGAGCGGCACCUUCCCUGCAGGAUCCGCUCUGCCCCCACACCCCCUGGACUUUUUCUACCUGUUGUCCUUCUUCCCUGCUUCAUCUUUCCCACAAAUCAUCCUGUCAUCGUGACGAUCGCUCUGCUGCAUCCCCCACGGAGCGGGCGCCGCUGCACCCAGCCAUCCCCACCGUGCUUCCUGGGCACGGCCAUCCCUGCCGUGCUUCCCGGGCACUGUUAUAAAAAGAGGGAUUAUAAAGUUAUGUUAACCUUGUUAUAAGGUUGUUAUUGUUGCUAAUCACUUACCUGUGUUCAUUCCUGGUUAGAAAUCCUCCUGUGUUAGGUGCUGUUUCGCUGUGCUGCCAGCUGUUGCUUCCUGGAAAAUGGUGACCGGGCCUGUGAGGAGGAAGUGACAUCAGAGACAGUAUGCAAAUGCAAGAACUCCUCAGAAAACACACUAAAAUCCCCUGGAACUACGAGCCUGCACAAAAUUAUGGACCGGGACACUUGCAGAAGCUGGGGGCUCGUCUGGGAUUGCCCACGCCCGAAGAGGACACCAGGACUGGCCAUCUUGGACCUCCAGGCAGUCGCCUACCUCUGGACCUGAAGAUCAACUCGGGACUUGGGAUGAAGAGGAGCGCCGGAUUGAAAUCCUCCUGUGUUAGGUGCUGUUUCGCUGUGCUGCCAGCUGUUGCUUCCUGGAAAAUGGUGACCGGGCCUGUGAGGAGGAAGUGACAUCAGAGACAGUAUGCAAAUGCAAGAACUCCUCAGAAAACACACUAAAAUCCCCUGGAACUACGAGCCUGCACAAAAUUAUGGACCAGGACACUUGCAGAAGGUUGAGCAACUAACUCUGGGACCCAGAGGGAGGCUUUUAAUCUGUUGCUCUAACCUACAGAAACCCAGAGUAGCAUGAGGACCCCAGACUUUGACACAGACUGUGAGAAGAAGGGAAAAAGCCCUACCGCUCUCGCGAGGAUGGGUCUCCCAGCUCUGCCUGCUCAUGAAGCGGACAAAGCUGCAUUUCCUCCUCCUCAGCGUCCCUCUGGGAAGCAGUGGCGGCGUGUGCACAGCCUGUCAGGCCCCCACCCGAGCUGAUCUCGCUAAAUAAAGGCA
rnacentral:lncRNA from 1 species